GGCACGGUAGCUCAGUCGGUAGAGCACGCGACUCAUAACCGCGUUGUCGGCAGUUCAAUCCUGCCCCGUGCUA
rnacentral:tRNA from 2 species